CUGAUCUGAACACAUCUAAAUUUAUGGAUAAAAUGCUAGUUGUAACAUAUAUUUCAUCGUCCAACUGUAAUAAUUGUCCCAUUAUUCUUAGUGGCGGAGUUAACCUCACUUGUGACCAGUUCAUGUCUGCCACACACUUCCUUUUCUGAGUGAUGGCAAAAGAUAAAUAUGCGGACAUAUUUAAGAAGCUUACAAAUACAAAAGUUAAGUAGCUGGCUAUGAAAGACGGUACAUUUAAUAAAGGGAGAAUACGAUUAACGAUCAUGGCUAAAGGAAAGUUACGUGGCUCAGAGCCAAACAAUAAGAUGCCUCCAUCAUCUAAUGGUGGAUUCAAAGGCGCAGAGACAUACACAACGGAGUUUGAAAUUAAUGAAACGCCACCAAGUGCUAGGACAUUGCUUACGAAAGGUUACAUCCAAGAUGAAAUUAAUAACUUUUCAGGAGCAACAGUUUCUACACGUGGUCGUUUUAUGACAGAACAAGAAAAGUUACGUUGUCCAAAUGAGCGUCCGUUGUACCUUUAUGUGCAAGGACACACAAAACAUAAUAUUGAUUUGGCUGUGGAGAAAAUUAAUGAAAUCAUAAAGACUGAACAUCAGAGUUCUUUGAAUAGACCAAGCAGAUUUACUAAUGCACCUCCACCUCUCAUGAGUUUACAUUCCGGUGUUCCAACUGUUGAGAAGAUCUGUAUUGGCAUAGAAAAUGCACCGCAAGGGUUUGAUUUAAGAGGUCGCAUUGUUGGCACUGGUGGUGCAAAUUUAUUAUAUAUUAGAGGAGAAACUGGUGCAACUGUAACAUUGAGGGGACGUGGAUCUCAAUUUAUCGAUGCAGUCACAGGAACCGAAUCUCCAGAACCAUUACAUUUAUACAUUGAACAUCCUAAACCGGAAGCUUUACAAAAUGCCAAACAGUUAGCAAUUAAUUUAAUACAGACAAUGCAAUCAGAGCUUCAGUCUUAUAUACAGCAACAACCACCACCUGUGCAGUCACAACAAGUUAUGGAACAACCACAAAUGCAACAAAUACAGCAAGCACAAUUUCAAACAAUGAAUAUCGGUGCUUUAGGACAACCUAAUGUGGUUACUAUUCAACAUCAAGAUAUUAUACAGCAUCCACAAAGUAGCGUAGUUACAUUGCCAGCUACAAUUUUAACAGCAACUGUAGCUAGUCCACCUGGACCAGGAGUGACGGUUCCUCCUCCAGGAGUUCAUAUCCCAGCACAUUCAGGGCCUUUAGUACCAGCAGGACAGGGCCAGGAGAUGCAAACAUUUAUGACUCCACCUCCGGUCGGUCAGGUACAACUGAUAGGUCCACCUCCAGCAGUGAGCCAGGUUCAAUAUCAAAUUCAUUCGGGCCAGCCGGUGCAAAUUCAGGGAAUCCAAGUCCCGCCGUCACAGUCGUCUCCUCAACCUGUAGCUCAGAUGUACGUAAUGAGUCAGCCACCGCCGCAGAGUCCCACUUCACAAAAUUUCAUAUCGAGUAGCAGCGUACCAGUCAGUGGAGCAGUGUCAUACGUAUACACGCAACCUAAUAUACAAAGGCCACCUACACCUUCCCAUGGAGUUAUCGAGACAGUUAACGUUAAUCUACAGCAGCCUCCACCGUCAGCUCCGAUCAACAUAACGCAACAACCACCUCCUCCAUUGCUCCAUUUACAUUUCCCACCCCCUAACUUCCCUCCAAACCAACCACCUCCCCCGCUACCGCAAACGUACCAGAUACAGUACCAACAAGUACAAGGACCUGGAUCGCAAGCUCAGACACAAUUCGUGCUGCAGCCUGGAGAGCACAUGGUGUCGCAACAGCUAUCAAAUCAGGAUGCUUCUCCUACUGUAGCGCAGCAUGUUAUGCCCCCUCAGUUCGAAGGGCAGCCUCCACCCCAGUUUCACCUUCAAGUGCCACCUCCGUCUGCGCCAACGUUUUUGGUACCCAAUUCUCAGUCUCCGCAUCAUCCUCAUCCACCUCCUUCACCUCAAGCUGGUGAAAUGCAUCACCAGGAAAUGCCAGCGGAUCAUGGUCCGCCUCCACAACCUGUACCUCCUCCACAGAUGGUACCUCCGCCUGUGGUUGGUCAAAUGCCAAAUUCUAUGAAUAUCUUGACAAGUGUUCCUCCUCCGACGCAAGUGCCACCUCCGCAAGCGGCUCCGUGGCUUUACCACGCUCCACAGUCGCAACAAUUGCAACAAUCUCAAGGACAGAUUCAGGUGCAGAUGCCACCGUCUGGUGUUCCCCUGCACACUGCACCUCCACCUCCGCAGAUGCAAGCUCAAAUCCAGUAUCAUACUCAGCAAAUACAAUAUCAGAAUGGCCAAAUGCAGGCGCAGGUUCAUUAUGGGGUUCAACCUCCACUUCCACCGCAUCAACAGGAUGCACCUGAACAACAGAGGGGUCAUGGUGUUAAGCGCAGAUUUUCGGACUUGGAUGCACCACAGGAAGCACCACCGUAUCAGUGUGGUCCGCAGCCCGCCCAACGUCACGGAACCGGGCAACGAGCAAAAUUCAGGUGGAGAUCCCGGAGGUAUUCCUCCAGGUCCUCCGCCUCCGGCGCCUUGGCACACCCAUCAUGUCAGGACUCCUUGGGGUAGACCACCUCCAGCUCCUAGGGAUGGUGAACAUCAGCAUUCGUAUUUAGCACCGCCACCCAUGAAUGUUCCACCGCCACAAAUUAGACCAAUGAGAGGUCAGGCGGAAGAUAAUCGAGCUUCUGGGAAUAUUCAAGGCACGAUGUUGGAACACCAAAUGAAUGUCGAAUACAACCAGAUGCCCUUGUACACCAUGAAACCCCCGCCCUACAAUUCGCUCCCCCUGAUGCAGUCC
rnacentral:misc_RNA from 1 species